rnacentral:rRNA from 1 species
AUACGGAGGAUCCGAGCGUUAUCCGGAUUUAUUGGGUUUAAAGGGUGCGCAGGCGGCCAUUUAAGUCAGCGGUUAAAUCGUGGGGCUCAACCCCAUUCUGCCGUUGAUACUGGGUGGCUUGAUUGCGGUCGAGGUUGGCGGAAUUCGUUGUGUAGCGGUGAAAUGCAUAGAUAUGACGAAGAACACCGAUUGCGUAGGCAGCUGACCAGACCGCAAAUGACGCUCAUGCACGAAAGUGCGGGGGUCGAACAGGAUUAGAUUCCCUGGUAGUCCGCACAGUAAACGAUGAAUACUUGUUUUCGGCGAUAUAAUGUCGGAGGCAAAGCGAAAGCGAUGAGUGUUCAUCCUGGGUAGUGCGCCGUCACCGGUGAAACUCAAAGGAAUUGGCGGGG